UUCCUAUGCUGUUCAAAUUUGAACCAUG
rnacentral:sRNA from 1 species